ACUUUCAGUAAUAAUACCUAGAACUAUAUUGUCCCAAAUAAGUUAAUCUCUCAGAGAGCCAUACUCACAGCUUGCAGCUUUUCCUCUUAGCCGAGUGACAAAGUUGCCUAUUGUUUCACCUUCUUCGUGCUUGCAACUGCCGAAUAUAUAUCUGUCAUAUAUAACAUUUGUUGAAGUUUUUAAAAAAGUGCUUCUAACGUGUCCAGGAUGGCC